rnacentral:rRNA from 1 species
GGGGGAAACCCUGNCGCAGCAACGCCGCGUGGAGGAUGAAGUCCUUCGGGAUGUAAACUCCUUUCGAUCGGGACGAUUAUGACGGUACCGGAAGAAGAAGCCCCGGCUAACUUCGUGCCAGCAGCCGCGGUAAUACGAGGGGGGCGAGCGUUGUUCGGAAUUAUUGGGCGUAAAGGGUGCGUAGGCGGUUUGGUAAGUCUUGUGUGAAAUCUACAGGCUCAACUUGUAGUCUGCACGAGAAACUGCCGGGCUUGAGUAUGGGAGAGGUGAGUGGAAUUCCUGGUGUAGCGGUGAAAUGCGUAGAUAUCAGGAGGAACACCUGUGGCGAAAGCGGCUCACCUGGACCAUAACUGACGCUGAUGCACGAAAGCUAGGGGAGCAAACAGGAUUAGAUACCCUGGUAGUCCUAGCCCUAAACGAUGACUGCUUGGUGUGACGGGUACCCAAUCCCGCCGUGCCGUAGCUAACGCGUUAAGCAGUCCGCCUGGGGAGUACGGUCGCAAGGCUGAAACUCAAAGAAAUUGACGGA